rnacentral:tRNA from 1 species
UGGCUCAGUUGGUAGAGCGUGGCACUUGCAAUGCCAGGGUUGUGGGUUUAAUUCCCAC